rnacentral:rRNA from 1 species
ACGAACGCUGGCGGCAUGCCUAACACAUGCAAGUCGAACGAGACCUUCGGGUCUAGUGGCGCACGGGUGCGUAACGCGUGGGAACCUGCCCUUAGGUUCGGAAUAACUCCCCGAAAGGGGUGCUAAUACCGGAUAAUGUCUUCGGACCAAAGAUUUAUCGCCUUUGGAUGGACCCGCGUUGGAUUAGCUAGUUGGUAGGGUAAAAGCCUACCAAGGCGACGAUCCAUAGCUGGUCUGAGAGGAUGAUCAGCCACACUGGGACUGAGACACGGCCCAGACUCCUACGGGAGGCAGCAGUGGGGAAUAUUGGACAAUGGGCGAAAGCCUGAUCCAGCAAUGCCGCGUGAGUGAUGAAGGCCUUAGGGUUGUAAAGCUCUUUUACCCGGGAUGAUAAUGACAGUACCGGGAGAAUAAGCUCCGGCUAACUCCGUA